rnacentral:rRNA from 1 species
CCUACGGGCGGCUGCAGUGGGGAAUCUUGCACAAUGGGGGAAACCCUGAUGCAGCAACGCCGCGUGAGUGAAGAAGUAUUUCGGUAUGUAAAGCUCUAUCAGCAGGGAAGAAGAUGACGGUACCUGAGUAAGAUGCCCCGGCCAACUACGUGCCAGCAGCCGCGGUAAUACGUAGGGGGCAAGCGUUCUCCGGAUUUACUGGGUGUAAAGGGAGCGUAGACGGUGAGGCAAGUCUGAAGUGAAAGCCCGGGGCUCAACCCCGGGACUGCUUUAGAAACUGACGAACUGGAGUGCUGGAGAGGAAAGCGGAAUUCCUAGUGUAGCGGUGAAAUGCGUAGAUAUUAGGAAGAACACCAGUGGCGAAGGCGGCUCGCUGGACAGUAACUGACGUUGAGGCUCGAAAGCGUGGGGAGCAAACAGGAUUAGAUACCCUAGUAGUC